GACGAACGCUGGCGGCGCGCCUAACACAUGCAAGUCGAACGGAGUCAAGAGGAGCUUGCUUUUCUUGACUUAGUGGCGAACGGGUGAGUAACGCGUGAGUAACCUGCCCUGGAGUGGGGGACAACAGUUGGAAACGACGGCUAAUACCGCAUAAGCCCACGGAUCCGCAUGGAUCUGCGGGAAAAGGAUUUAUUCGCUUCAGGAUGGACUCGCGUCCAAUUAGCUAGUUGGUGAGGUAACGGCCCACCAAGGCGACGAUUGGUAGCCGGACUGAGAGGUUGAACGGCCACAUUGGGACUGAGACACGGCCCAGACUCCUACGGGAGGCAGCAGUGGGGGAUAUUGCACAAUGGGGGAAACCCUGAUGCAGCGACGCCGCGUGGAGGAAGAAGGUUUUCGGAUUGUAAACUCCUGUCGUGAGGGACGAUAAUGACGGUACCUAACAAGAAAGCACCGGCUAACUACGUG
rnacentral:rRNA from 1 species